AACUACAUUGCGGAGGAGGCGCUAACCGCUUAAUUAUACAGGGUGCGGGGCGAGAGGGCCAGCUGGAAGCUGUGCGCAUGCACCACCUCUACGCAUGCGUAGUCUCAUGGUAUAAAGGCGCGCACACGUGGUUCUGCAGUCUGGUAAGUGAGGAGGUGUAACAGCCCGGCUAGGAUCCUUCACGUGAAGAUAAGAUAAAAAGUGUCUUUGUGAGAAGGCCGGAGGAUUUACAGUCGGAAUACUUCAAAGCUCUGCAGAACGGUUAUAAAAGAAUGAUUAUAUGAAUGGAGCUGAGUAUUUUCAAUAAAAAUUUACUUAAACACUUA